CAGCCGCCACGGGAAUACGAAGGGGGCUAGCGUUGUUCGGAAUUACUGGGCGUAAAGCGCACGUAGGCGGAUACUUAAGUCAGGGGUGAAAUCCCGGGGCUCAACCCCGGAACUGCCUUUGAUACUGGGUAUCUCGAGUCCGGAAGAGGUGAGUGGAAUUCCGAGUGUAGAGGUGAAAUUCGUAGAUAUUCGGAGGAACACCAGUGGCGAAGGCGGCUCACUGGUCCGGUACUGACGCUGAGGUGCGAAAGCGUGGGGAGCAAACAGGAUUAGAUACCCCUGUAGUCCCUGUCUCUUAUAC
rnacentral:rRNA from 1 species